UACGGAGGGUGCAAGCGUUGUCCGGAUUUAUUGGGUUUAAAGGGUGCGUAGGCGGCCUUGUAAGUCAGUGGUGAAAGCCUCCAGCUCAACUGGAGAACUGCCAUUGAUACUGCAAGGCUUGAGUACAGACGAGGUUGGCGGAAUUGAUUGUGUAGCGGUGAAAUGCAUAGAUACAAUCAAGAACUCCGAUUGCGUAGGCAGCUAACUAGGCUGUAACUGACGCUGAGGCACGAAAAGCGUGGGGGAGCGAA
rnacentral:rRNA from 1 species